rnacentral:rRNA from 1 species
GACGAACGCUGGCGGCGUGCCUAAUACAUGCAAGUAGAACGCACAGUUUAUACCGUAGCUUGCUACACCAUAGACUGUGAGUUGCGAACGGGUGAGUAACGCGUAGGUAACCUGCCUGGUAGCGGGGGAUAACUAUUGGAAACGAUAGCUAAUACCGCAUAAUAUUAAUUAUUGCAUGAUAAUUAAUUGAAAGGUGCAAUUGCACCACUACCAGAUGGACCUGCGUUGUAUUAGCUAGGAGGUGAGGUAACGGCUCACCUAGGCGACGAUACAUAGCCGACCUGGGAGGGUGAUCGGCCACACUGGGACUGAGACACGGCCCAGACCCCUACGGGAGGCAGCAGUAGGGAAUCUUCGGAAAUGGACGAAAGUCUGACCGAGCAACGCCGCGUGAGUGAAGAAGGUUUUCGGAUCGUAAAGCUCUGUUGUAAGAGAAGAACGGGUGUGAGAGUGGAAAGUUCACACUGUGACGGUAUCUUACCAGAAAGGGGCGGCUAACUACGUG